AGGAUGAACGCUGGCGGCGUGCUUAACACAUGCAAGUCGAACGAUGAAGCCGGAGCUUGCUCUGGUGGAUUAGUGGCGAACGGGUGAGUAACACGUGAGUAACCUGCCCUUGACUCUGGGAUAAGCACUGGAAACGGUGUCUAAUACCGGAUACGAGCUUUAGCCGCAUGGCUAGGAGCUGGAAAGAAUUUCGGUCAAGGAUGGACUCGCGGCCUAUCAGGUAGUUGGUGAGGUAACGGCCCACCAAGCCUACGACGGGUAGCCGGCCUGAGAGGGUGACCGGCCACACUGGGACUGAGACACGGCCCAGACUCCUACGGGAGGCAGCAGUGGGAAUAUUGCACAAUGGGCGCAAGCCUGAUGCAGCAACGCCGCGUGAGGGACGACGGCCUUCGGUGUAACGUACUUUAGUAGGAAGAAGCGAAAGUAGACGGUACCUGCAGAAAAAGACAACCGCUAACUACGUAGCCACGCAGACCGCGGUAACGUCUGAGCGGCGU
rnacentral:rRNA from 1 species